AUCCCACAGUUUAUAUUAUCUCCUCAUCUGGGGGCGAGGCACAAUUAGCGCGAGACGUUCUGCCGCCCUUUUCUGAUUUCUGAUUGACGAGGAGAUAAAUCUAGUCCCAGCUCAUGUUUUCCUUAUAAAUUAAUGAUUCUGGUCCCAUUUGGUCCCAUUUUGUAAAAAUGGGACCAUGAUUUACCCUAUAUAUAAUAUAGAUUGGCAGCAAUAGAUAGAUUGGCAGCAGUGAUAGAUUAGCAGCGAUAGAUAGGUUGGCAGCAGUGGG
rnacentral:sRNA from 2 species